rnacentral:rRNA from 1 species
CCUACGGGUGGCAGCAGUGAGGAAUAUUGGGCAAUGGACGAGAGUCUGAACCAGCCAAGUAGCGUGAAGGAUGAAGGCCCUAUGGGUUGUAAACUUCGUUUAUAGGGGAAUAAAAUGAUGCAAGUGAGGGAUUUUGUAUGGACGAUAUGAAUAAGGAUAGGCUAACUCCGUGCCAGCAGACGAGGUAAUACGGAGGUUCCGAGCGUUAUCCGGAUUUAUUGGGUUUAACGGGAGCGUAGGUGGUUUGUUACGUCAGUUGUGAAAGUUUGCGGCUCAACCGUAAAAUUGCAUUUGAAACUGGCAGUCUUGCGUACAGUAGAGGUGGGCGGACUUC